GUGAGUGAGUGUGUGUCUGUCAUUUUAUGUGUAUCUGAGAGUGUGUGUCUGUCAGUGAGUGGGUGGGUGUGUCAGUGUCUUUUGAUUAAACAGUGUGUGUGCCAAUGACUCUAUGUGUGUGCCAAUGACUGUGUAUCUGCAAUUGAGUGUAUGUCAGUGCAUGUGUCAAUGAGGGCCUGUGUCUGUCAGUCAAAAAAGUGGCCUUGACACGAAUUGGGG